GGAUUAGAUACCCUGGUAGUCCUAGCUGUAAACGAUGGAUACUAAGUGUCGGGUGCACUGUUCGCAGGGUAUUCGGUGCUGAAGCUAACGCGUUAAGUAUCCCGCCUGGGGAGUACGUCCGCAAGGAUGAAACUCAAAGGAAUUGACGGGGGCCCGCACAAGCGGUGGAGCAUGUGGUUUAAUUCGAUGCAACGCGAAGAACCUUACCAGGAAUUGACAUAUUCUUGGUUUUUUAGAAAUAGAAAACUGUUAAAGAAAUACAGGUGGUGCAUGGCUGUCGUCAGCUCGUGUUG
rnacentral:rRNA from 1 species